CCUACGGGUGGCUGCAGUGAGGAAUAUUGGUCAAUGGGCGUAAGCCUGAACCAGCCAAGUCGCGUGAGGGAUGAAGGUUCUAUGGAUCGUAAACCUCUUUUAUAAGGGAGUAAAGUGUGGGACGUGUCCUGUUUUGUAUGUACCUUAUGAAUAAGGAUCGGCUAACUCCGUGCCCGCAGCCGCGGUAAUACGGAGGAUCCGAGCGUUAUCCGGAUUUAUUGGGUUUAAAGGGUGCGUAGGCGAGCUUUUAAGUCAGCUGUGAAAGUCUGUGGCUUAACCAUAGAAUUGCCGUUGAAACUGGGAGGCUUGAGUAUGGGAGAGGCAGGCGGAAUGCGUGGUGUAGCGGUGAAAUGCUUAGAUAUCACGCAGAACCCCGAUUGCGAAGGCAGCCUGCCAAGCCAUGACUGACGCUGAUGCACGAAAGCGUGGGGAUCAAACAGGAUUAGAUACCCGUGUAGUC
rnacentral:rRNA from 1 species